ACCAGACUCCUACGGGAGGCAGCAGUGGGGGAUAUUGCACAAUGGGGGGAACCCUGAUGCAGCGGCGCCGCGUGGGUGAAGAAGCGCCUCGGCGCGUAAAGCCCUUUCAGCAGGGAAGAAAAUGACGGUACCUGAAGAAGAAGUCCCGGCUAACUACGUGCCAGCAGCCGCGGCAAUACGUAGGGGGCAAGCGUUAUCCGGAUUUACUGGGUGUAAAGGGGGCGCAGACGGCGAUGCAAGCCAGGAGUGAAAGCCCGGGGCCCAACCCCGGGACUGCUCUUGGAACUGCGUGGCUGGAGUGCAGGAGGGGCAGGCGGAAUUCCUGGUGUAGCGGUGAAAUGCGUAGAUAUCAGGAGGAACACCGGUGGCGAAGGCGGCCUGCUGGACUGCAACUGACGUUGAGGCCCGAAAGCGUGGGGAGCAAACAGGAUUAGAUACCCUCGUAACU
rnacentral:rRNA from 1 species